rnacentral:lncRNA from 1 species
UCACAUACUAUGGACAACUAAACCCUAAUAUAGAUAAGUGAACCCUAAUAUCGAGAUGUGAACCCAUAUACACCACAUAAUAACUAUGGAAAUAGUUAACCCACAUCCUAGAAGAAAACAAGUGUCUCUCAUUAAACCCUAAUAUGGAUAAAUAAACCCUAAUAUAGAAAACUAAACCCUCAUAUGGAUAACUAAACCCUAAUAUGGAUAUGUGAACCCACAUACACGACAUAAUAACUAUGAAAAUAGUUAACCCACAUCCUAGAAGAAAAUAAGUGUCCUUCAUUCAAUACUAUACUAUUUACCGGAGAUAGUAUUGUUUCACAUACUAUGGACAACUAGACCCUAAUAUGGAUAACUAAAC